rnacentral:rRNA from 1 species
GACGAACGCUGGCGGCGUGCUUAACACAUGCAAGUCGAACGGUAAGGCCCUUCGGGGUACACGAGUGGCGAACGGGUGAGUAACACGUGGGUGAUCUGCCCUGCACUUCGGGAUAAGCCUGGGAAACUGGGUCUAAUACCGGAUAGGACUCCUGGCUUCACGGUUGGGGGGGGAAAGCUUUUGCGGUGUGGGAUGGGCCCGCGGCCUAUCAGCUUGUUGGUGGGGUAAUGGCCUACCAAGGCGACGACGGGUAGCCGGCCUGAGAGGGUGACCGGUCACACUGGGACUGAGAUACGGCCCAGACUCCUACGGGAGGCAGCAGUGGGGAAUAUUGCACAAUGGGCGCAAGCCUGAUGCAGCGACGCCGCGUGAGGGAUGACGGCCUUCGGGUUGUAAACCUCUUUCAGCUAUGACGAAGCGCAAGUGACGGUAGUAGCAGAAGAAGGACCGGCCAACUACGUGCCAGCAGCCGCAGUAA